rnacentral:rRNA from 1 species
GGGCCCGCACAAGCGGUGGAGCAUGUGGUUUAAUUCGAUGCAACGCGAAGAACCUUACCUACUCUUGACAUCCCUGAAACCUGCUAGAGAUAGCAGGGUGCCUUCGGGAAUCAGGUGACAGGUGUUGCAUGGCUGUCGUCAGCUCGUGUCGUGAGAUGUUGGGUUAAGUCCCGUAACGAGCGCAACCCUUAUCCUUAGUUACCAGCACGUAAUGGUGGGGACUCUAGGGAGACUGCCGGUGAUAAACCGGAGGAAGGCGAGGACGACGUCAAGUCAUCAUGGCCCUUACGAGUAGGGCUACACACGUGCUACAAUGGGCAGUACAACGGGUCGCGAAACCGUGAGGUGGAGCUAAUCCUUUAAAGCUGUUCUCAGUCCGGAUUGAAGUCUGCAACUCGACUUCAUGAAGUUGGAAUCGCUAGUAA